rnacentral:pre_miRNA from 1 species
AAUAGAUGACUCCGUUGAUUUUUUCUCACAUAUUUGACCAUUCGUCUUAUUCAAAAAAUUUACGUAAUUAUAAUUUAUUUUGUUAUGAGUUGUUUUGAGUACUUUAAGUGUGAUUUAUAUCUUAUACAUUUGCAAAAAAAAUUAAAUAAGACGAAUGGUUAAACAUGUGAGAAAAAGUCAACAGCGUCAUCUAUU